rnacentral:rRNA from 1 species
CUACGUGCCAGCAGCCGCGGUAAUACGGAAGGUCCUGGUGUUAUCCGGAUUUAUUGGGUUUAAAGGGAGCGUAGGCCGCAUAUUAAGUGUGUUGUGAAAAGCAGUCGCCCAACGUCUGUCUUGCAGCGCAAACUGGUGUGCUUGAGUACGCACAACGCAGGCGGAAUUCGUCGUGUAGCGGUGAAAUGCUUAGAUAUGACGAAGAACCCCGAUUGCGAAGGCAGCGUGCGGGAGCGUUACUGACGCUGAAGCUCGAAAGUGCGGGUAUCGAACAGGAUUAGAUACCCUGGUAGUCCGCACGGUAAACGAUGGAUGCCCGUUUUUGGCUUAUGAAGUCAGAGACCAAGCGAAAGCAUUAAGCAUCCCACCUGGGGAGUACGCCGGCAACGGUGAAACUCAAAGGAAUUGACGGGGGCCCGCACAAGCGGAGGAACAUGUGGUUUAAUUCGAUGAUACGCGAGGAACCUUACCCGGGCUUGAAUUGCAGAGGAAGGAUUUAGAGAUA